rnacentral:rRNA from 1 species
GAGUGCCUUCUCUAGUCACCAUGCAUGUGAUUGAAAUAUUCCGAGACGAACAGCUCAGUAACUCUUAUUUGAUUUGAUGUAUUAGGAUUCUAACUAUGUUAAAUUAUAGGUAACAAUAAUACAAUAAGAAUAAGAUCUAUCAGUUAGUUGUUAAGGUAAUGGCUUAACAAGACUAUGACGGAUAACGGUAUUACUUUGUAAUAUUCCGGAGAAGGAGCCUGAGAGAUUGCUACUAAGUCUAAGGAUUGCAGCAGGGGCGAACUUGACCUAUGAUAUUAUAUUGAGGCAGUUAUGAGUAGUAUUUUAUAAUUAUUGUAGUAUUGUAAGUACAUAUUACAAGAUAAAUCGGACGGCAAAUCGAGUGCCAGCAGCCGCGGGUAAUCUUGUUCCGAUAGUGUGUAUGAUGAUUGGAUGCAGUUAAAAGUCUGUAGUUUAUUUAUAAAAAGCCUUGGAAGGGACUUGGAUAACCAGAAGCGAAAAGCUGAUACUUAAAUGAUUAUUAGACCANGGACGUAAGUUAGAGGAUCGAAGAUGAUUAGAUACCAUUGAGUUCUAGCAGUAACUAUGUGAUCAUAGAUAUAUUUUGAAAUAUAUUUAUGUAGAGAAAUUAAGAUUAUAUUGCUCUGGGAUAGUAUGAUCGCAAGAUUGAAAAUUAAAGAAAUUGACGGAAGAAUACCCCCAAGGAGUGGAUUGUGCGGCUUAAUUUGACUCAACGCGGGGUAAUUUACCCAGGUAUAACAUGGUGUAAUAUUUUAUCAUGAUAGUGGUGCAUGGCCGUUUCCCAAUGGAUGCUGUGAAGUAAUGAUUAAUUUCAACAAGAUGUGAGACCCUCAUUUAGACAGAUGUAGUGAUACAUAUGAAGGAGAGGAUUAAAACAGGUCCGUUAUGCCCUAAGAUAAUCUGGGUUGCACGCGCAAUACAAUAAUAUUUGAUAUUAUAAGGGAUAAUAUAAUGUAAGAUAUAUUUGAACAUGGAAUUGCUAGUAAAUUUUAUUUAAUAAGUAGAAUUGAAUGAGUCCCUGUUCUUUGUACACACCGCCCGUCGCUAUCUAAGAUGGGAAAACUAGAUCUAUGUCUAAAGAUAAAAGACAGUCGAAUC